AAUCCAUAGGUUAAUGAGGCGAACCGGGGGAACUGAAACAUCUAAGUACCCCGAGGAAAAGAAAUCAACCGAGAUUCCCCCAGUAGCGGCGAGCGAACGGGGAGGAGCCCAGAGCCUGAAUCAGCAUGUGUGUUAGUGGAAGCGUCUGGAAAGGCGCGCGAUACAGGGUGACAGCCCCGUACACAAAAGCGCAUGUGCUGUGAGCUCGAUGAGUAGGGCGGGACACGUGGUAUCCUGUCUGAAUAUGGGGGGACCAUCCUCCAAGGCUAAAUACUCCUGACUGACCGAUAGUGAACCAGUACCGUGAGGGAAAGGCGAAAAGAACCCCGGCGAGGGGAGUGAAAAAGAACCUGAAACCGUGUACGUACAAGCAGUGGGAGCACCCUUUGGGGUGUGACUGCGUACCUUUUGUAUAAUGGGUCAGCGACUUAUAUUCUGUAGCAAGGUUAACCGUAUAGGGGAGCCGUAGGGAAACCGAGUCUUAACCGGGCGUUAAGUUGCAGGGUAUAGACCCGAAACCCGGUGAUCUAGCCAUGGGCAGGUUGAAGGUUGGGUAACACUAACUGGAGGACCGAACCGACUAAUGUUGAAAAAUUAGCGGAUGACCUGUGGCUGGGGGUGAAAGGCCAAUCAAACCGGGAGAUAGCUGGUUCUCCCCGAAAGCUAUUUAGGUAGCGCCUCGUGAAUUCAUCUCCGGGGGUAGAGCACUGUUUCGGCUAGGGGGCCAUCCCGGCUUACCAACCCGAUGCAAACUGCGAAUACCGGAGAAUGUUAUCACGGGAGACACACGGCGGGUGCUAACGUCCGUCGUGAAGAGGGAAACAACCCAGACCGCCAGCUAAGGUCCCAAAGUCAUGGUUAAGUGGGAAACGAUGUGGGAAGGCCCAGACAGCCAGGAUGUUGGCUUAGAAGCAGCCAUCAUUUAAAGAAAGCGUAAUAGCUCACUGGUCGAGUCGGCCUGCGCGGAAGAUGUAACGGGGCUAAACCAUGCACCGAAGCUGCGGCAGCGACGCUUAUGCGUUGUUGGGUAGGGGAGCGUUCUGUAAGCCUG
rnacentral:rRNA from 1 species